CUAUGACCGAGCCAAAACUGAAACUACUUACCCUGUGGCCCCUUUCUGGAAGGGCCCUUUUCUGACCCCUGAUUAAGAGCAAGACCUCCAGAGGCAGUUUCGGUGGAGAAGCUCAGUCAACCGCAGUAUUGGCAGUUUACCCUGCAGAAAAGCUGCGGAUCCUAUCAGCAAACUGAAAAGUUCCUCUUUUAGCUCCAGCUCAGAUCAUCAGAUAUUUGAUCCCAGAGGUUGGGGACCCCUGCUGGACACCACUGGCCCACGGAAAACCAGAAGCUAUACUUUGGGCUCCCUGGUUCCCCCAUUUCUCCUCGUAAGGCAUCUGGCUCUACUCUAUCCCAGGAAAGAAUGACUCCAAACCUUUUUCUUUAGAUGAUGGUUCUGCAUCAAAACAGUCCUUAAUAAAGAAAGCGAAGAACUAUUAUUUAAACUGACUCUUCAAGCUAGGCGGCUGCGAGCCGGCGCAAUAAGCGUGGCCAAGAGGAGGCUACACCACGUCCGAGGUCAGUGGCAGCCUGGAGGAGCUACCCCGCGUCUGAGGUCAGUGGUGGCCUGGAGGAGCUACCCCGCGUCUGAGGCCAGUGGCGGCCGGGAGGAGACACCCCGUGUCUGAGGUCAGGGGCGGCUGGGAGAAACCACCUCGUGCCCGAGGUCAGGGGUGGUGACCCUGAGGAGUCACCCUGAGCCCGAGGCCAGGGGCGGCAGCUGGGAGGAGCCACCCACGCCCGAGGCCAGGGCCAGCGGCCAGGAGGGUUAACCCGAGUAGCGGUGGCUGUGCAGGUACAGGAGGGCCUAGAGGAGCUAUCCCAAGUUGAAGGUCAGGAACGGCAGGGGUAAGGAGAUAUCCCUUGCCCAAAGUAAGGAGCAGCGGCUGUGCUUUGCUGGAGCAGCUGUGAAGAGAUAAUCCACGCCCAAGGUAAGAGAAACCCAAGUAAGAUGGUAGGUGUUGCAAGAGGGCAUCAGAGGGCAGACACACUGAAACCAUACUCACAGAAAACUAGUCAAUCUAGUCACACUAGGACCACAGCCUUGUCAAACUCAAUGAAACCAAGCCACGCCUGCAGGGCAACCCAAGACAGGCGGGUCAUGGUGGAGAGGCCUGACAGAAUAUGGUCCACUGGAGAAGGGAAUGGCAAGCCACUUCAGUAUUCUUGCCUUGAGAACCCCAUGAACAGUAUGAAAAGGCAAAAUGAUAGGAUACCAAAAGAGGAACUCCCCAGAGCAGUAGGUGCCCAAAUGCUCCUGGAGAUCAGUGGAGAAAUAACUCCAGAAAGAAUGACGGGAUGGAGCCAAAGCAAAAACAAUACCCAGCUGUGGAUGUGACUGGUGAUAGAAGCAAGGUCUGAUGCUGUAAAGAGCAAUAUUGCAUAGGAACCUGGACUGUCAGGUCCAUGAAUCAAGGCAAAUUGGAAGUGGUCAAACAAGAGAUGGCAACGGUGAACGUUGACAUUCUAGGAAUCAGCGAACUAAAAUGGACUGGAAUGGGUGAAUUUAACUCAGAUGACCAUUAUAUCUACCACUGCAGGCAGGAAUCCCUCAGAAGAAGUGGAGUAGCCAUCACGGUCAACAAAAGAGUCUGAAAUGCAGUACUUGGAUGCAAUCUCAAAAACAACAGAAUGAUCUCUGUUCAUCUCCAAGGCAAACCAUUCAGUAUCACAGUAAUCCAAGUCUAUGCCCCAACCAGUAACGCUGAAGAAGCUGAAGUUGAACGGUUCUAUGAAGACCUACAAGACCUUUCAAAACUAACAUCCAAAAAAGAUGUCCUUUUCAUGAUAGGGGACUGGAAUGCAAAAGUAGGAAGUCAAGAAACACCUAGAGUAAUAGGCAGAUUUGGCCUUGGAAUGCAGAAUGAAGCAGGGCAAAGACUAAUAGAGUUUUGCCAAGAAAAUGCACUGGUCAUAGGAAACACCCUCUUCCAACAACACAAGAGAAGACUCUACACAUGGACAUCACCAGAUGGUCAACACUGAAAUCAGAUUGAUUAUAUUCUUUGCAGCCAAAGAUGGAGAAGCUCUAUACAGUCAACAAAAACAAGACCAGGAGCUGACUGUGGCUCAGAUCAUGUACUCCUUAUUACCAAAUUCAGACUCAGAUUGAAGAAAGUAGGGAAAACUGCUAGACCAUUCAGGUAUGACCUAAAUCAAAUCCCUUAUGAUUAUACAGUGGAAGUGAGAAAUAGAUUCAAGGGCCUAGAUCUGAUAGAUAGAGUGCCUGAUGAACUAUGGACGGAGGUUCGUGACAUUGUACAGGAGACAGGGAUCAAGACCAUCCCCAUGGAAAAGAAAGGCAAAAAGGCAAAAUGGCUGUCUGGGGAGGCUUUACAAAUAGCUAUGAAAAGAAGAGAGGCGAAAAGCAAAGGAGAUAAGGAAAGAUAUAAGCAUCUGAAUGCAGAGUUCCAAAGAAUAGCAAGAAGAGAUAAGAAAGCCUUCUGCAGUGAUCAGUGCAAAGAAAUAGAGAAAAACAACAGAAUGGAAAAGACUAGAGAUCUCUUCAAGAAAAUUAGAGAUACCAAGGGAACAUUUCAUGCAAAGAUGGGCUCGAUAAAGGACAGAAAUGGUAUGGACCUAACAGAAGCAGAAGAUAUUAAGAAGAGGUAGCAAGAAUACACAGAAGAACUGUACAAAAAAUAUCUUCACGACCCAGAUAAUCAUGAUGAUGUGAUCACUAAUCUAGAGCCAGAAAUCCUGGAAUGUGAAGUCAAGUGGGCCUUAGAAAGCAUCACUAUGAACAAAGCUAGUAGAGGUGAUGGCAUUCCAGUUGAGCUAUUUCAAAUCCUGAAAGAUGAUGCUGUGAAAGUGCUGCACUCAAUAUGCCAGCAAAUUUGGAAAACUCAGCAGUGGCCACAGGACUGGAAAAGGUCAGUUUUCAUUCUAGUUCCAAAGAAAGGCAAUGCCAAAGAAUGCUCAAACGACCGCACAAUUGCACUCAUCUCACAUGCUAUAAAGUGAUGCUCAAAAUUCUCCAAGCCAGGCUUCAGCAAUACAUGAACCAUGAACUUCCUGAUGUUCAAGCUGGUUUUAGAAAAGGCAGAGGAACCAGAGAUCAAAUUGCCAACAUCCGCUGGAUCAUGGAAAAAGCAAGAGAGUUCCAGAAAACAUCUAUUUCUGCUUUAUUGACUAUGCCAAAAAUUUUGACUCUGUGGAUCACAACAAACUCUGGAAAAUUCUGCGAGAGAUGGGAAUACCAGAGCACCUGACCUGCCUCUUGAGAAACCUGUAUGCAGGUCAGGAAGCAACAGUUAGAACUGGACAUGGAACCACAGACUGGUUCCAAAUAGGAAAAGGAGUAUGUCAAGGCUGUAUAUUGUCACCCUGCUUAUUUAACUUCUAUGCAGAGUACAUCAUGAG
ensembl:lncRNA